UCUUCAUUGAGGGUCUAAAUGAAGGAUCCUCUUGAAUGCACCAAAUUGCUACCAUCACUAGCCUCUCUAGCCUCUUCAUUGAGGGUCUAAAUGAAGGAUCCUCUUGAAUGCACCAAAUUGCUACCAUCACUAGCCUCUCUAGCCUCUUCAUGUCAUUUCUUGCCUCUUCAUCAUUUUCAACCAGCUCACUCAACUUCUUCUUGCAGUAGCAAUCAUAAAUCCAGUCCACAAGUGCCUCCUCUUGAUCUCCCAUUCCAAAUACAACACUUGACUUGCAGCAAAUGAUCUCUAGCAAUACAACGCCAAAACUGUAUACAUCAACUUUAACUGUGAUUGAAGCUUUCCUGAACCAUUCAGGUGCAAAGUAUCCAAUCGUGCCUCUUAUAUUUGUGCGAGCUACUCGAGACUGUUCAGCCAA
rnacentral:misc_RNA from 1 species